CUGGUUGUUUGAUGACAUACAGCAAGUAAACAAACCUCUUAUCGCACAGAUAAGAAACCAUUCUCUUAUCUGAUUGGUUAAAAGUGUUUUGUUCUUUUUUAUUGUUUGCAUUAACCAUAAGUUUGAUUUUUCCUUUCCUUAUAAAAAUGUGUGUGAUGCUAGCCCGUAACCAUAGGAACUGUCUGAGCCAAUCAGAGCAUCCUAUCACUGAAGGUCUUGGUGUGGUCCAAAUCGUGGAAGUUAGUCUGCACGAUUCUUGUGAAAGUGUCCAUGUACAAACACCCAGAGUUUCUAAUCAAAAAUGCAGAGCGCAGAGUGUUGUAAAAUAUAAAAGCAAUUUGAAGGAACAAAACAGCUUUUAAAAUGAACCUCAUUCGGGAUCCCAAAUUUAGCUCGGAACACUUUUGCAGUACAUUUGAUUUAUACUCCCGCCAGGAAGCAGGAGGAUUCUGCAAUGUUAUUAAAGGGAUCCUAUACUUGUUUUCCUGACACCAUAGUUCCCUACAGAGCACCCCUCCCUUGCGCCCUCAUUCCUGCAGUCCUGGAGUUCAGUCACUAACCUAAAUCCAGUGCUGCUGUCCCUCAACACUGGGUCAGGCUCUGCCCAAGCCAGCUGGCGGGGGAGACAUAAUGUGCAUGAAGCGACAAUGGCCGCGCUCCCAUUAGGAUUUCCCCAUAGGAAAGCAUUAAUCAAUGCUUUUUCAUGGGGAAAAAUCUGACACUGGAGGUCUU